UGGGGAAUAUUGCACAAUGGGCGCAAGCCUGAUGCAGCGACGCCGCGUGGGGGAUGACGGCCUUCGGGUUGUAAACCUCUUUCAGUAUCGGCGAAGCUUGCGGGUUUUCUCGCAGGUGACGGUAGGUACAGAAGAAGCACCGGCCAACUACGUGCCAGCAGCCGCGGUAAUACGUAGGGUGCGAGCGUUGUCCGGAAUUACUGGGCGUAAAGAGCUCGUAGGUGGUUUGUCGCGUUGUCCGUGAAAACUCACAGCUCAACUGUGGGCGUGCGGGCGAUACGGGCAGACUGGAGUACUGUAGGGGAGACUGGAAUUCCUGGUGUAGCGGUGGAAUGCGCAGAUAUCAGGAGGAACACCGGUGGCGAAGGCGGGUCUCUGGGCAGUAACUGACGCUGAGGAGCGAAAGCAUGGGGAGCGAACA
rnacentral:rRNA from 1 species